GACGAACGCUGGCGGCGUGCCUAAUACAUGCAAGUAGAACGCUGAAGAGAGGAGCUUGCUCUUCUUGGAUGAGUUGCGAACGGGUGAGUAACGCGUAGGUAACCUGCCUUGUAGCGGGGGAUAACUAUUGGAAACGAUAGCUAAUACCGCAUAACAAUGGAUGACACAUGUCAUUUAUUUGAAAGGGGCAAUUGCUCCACUACAAGAUGGACCUGCGUUGUAUUAGCUAAUAGGUGAGGUAAUGGCUCACCUAGGCGACGAUACAUAGCCGACCUGAGAGGGGGAGCGGACCAACUGGGACUGAGACACGGCCCAGACUCCUACGGGAGGCAGCAGUAGGGGACCUUCGGCAAUGGGGGCAACCCUGACCGAGCAACGACGCGUGCGUGAAGAAGGGUUUCGGAUCGUAAAGCUCUGUUGUAAGUCAAGAACGGGUGUGAGAGUGGAAAGUUCACACUGUGACGGUAGCUUACCAGAAAGGGACGGCUAACUACGUG
rnacentral:rRNA from 1 species